UAGGGAAUAUUGCGCAAUGGGGGAAACCCUGACGCAGCAACGCCGCGUGAGCGAUGAAGGCCUUCGGGUCGUAAAGCUCUGUCGUACGAGAAUAAGAAAGUGAAUGUAUCGUGCAAGAAAGGAUCGGCUAACUUCGUGCCAGCAGCCGCGGUAAGACGAGGGAUCCUAGCGUUGUUCGGAAUCAUUGGGCGUAAAGCGGGUGUAGGUGGCUUUGUAAGUCAGGUGUGAAAGCCCGGGGCUUAACCCCGGAAGUGCAUCUGAUACUGUGAAGCUUGAGUGCAAGAGAGGCAAGCAGAAUUCCUGGUGUAGUGGUGAAAUACGUAGAUAUCAGGAGGAAUAUCGGAGGCGAAGGCGGCUUGCUGGUUUGACACUGACACUGAGACCCGAAAGCGUGGGGAUCAAACAGG
rnacentral:rRNA from 1 species